GAUGAACGCUGGCGGCGUGCCUAACACAUGCAAGUUGAACGGGAUUUGCUGAGUGCUUGCACUGAGCGAUGAGAGUAGCGCACUGGUGAGUAACACGUGGGAACAUGCCUUUUGGUGGGGACAACAGAGGGAAACUUCUGCUAAUACCGCAUAAGCCCUAAGGGGGAAAGAUUUAUUGCCGAAAGAUUGGCCCGCGGAAGAUUAGGUAGUUGGUGGGGUAAAGGCCUACCAAGCCGACGAUCUAUAGCUGGUCUGAGAGGACGAACAGCCACAUUGGAACUGAGACACGGUCCAGACUCC
rnacentral:rRNA from 1 species